CUCAAGUUUGUGAAGAAUGUGUUGUUACCAAAAAACAUCAUUCUCAAUUUCCUCAAGAAAAGUUAUGGAGAGCAAAGCAUGUCUUGGAGCUUGUUCAUCCCUACAUUUUGUGGGCUAAUAUAGCCAUCAUCUAGUAGGAGUAAUAGAUACCUGAUUACCUUUGUUGAUGAUUAUAGCUGAAAAACUUGGGUUCAAUUUUUGCAGGAAGAAUCAGAAGCUUUUAGUGCAUUUAAAUGCCUCGAUGAGCAUGUUGAAAAUGAAACAAGAAAAACCAUUAAAACUAUUCGUACUAAUCAUGGUAGAGUAUACUACUUAAAAGAGUCUGAAAGUUUUUGUGAUGCUCAAGGCAUGGAAAAAACUCGCAACUGCUUAUACUCCACAACAAAAUAGUGUAUAAGAAAAGAAAAGUAGAACCAUCCUCAACAUGGUAAGAAGUUUGCGGUAAGAGGAAGAGUUCCAAAGAAUAUUUGGUCGAAAGCAGUAGAUUGGAGCAAUUAUGUCUUGAAUAGGAGUCCUACAUGACACUAUAUGAGGCUUGAGUGGAUGGUGACCAUCUAUAGAUCACUUUAGAAUUUUCGAUUGCAUAUGCUCCCCAUAUGGAAAAGGAAGGAGGCUAAUGAUAAGGGUGAAAAGUAUAUCUUUCUUGACAUAAGUAAAACAUUCAAA
rnacentral:lncRNA from 1 species